rnacentral:rRNA from 1 species
GACAGAGGUGCCAAGCGUUAGGCGGAAUCACUGGGCUUAAAGCGUGUGUAGGCGGGUGGCUAAGUACCUUGUGAAAUCCCACGGCUCAACCGUGGAACUGCUGGGUAUACUGGGUGCCUUGGGUCAUCUAGGGGCUGCCGGAACAAAUGGUGGAGCGGUGAAAUGCGUAGAUAUCAUUUGGAACGCCAAUGGUGAAAACAACUCGCUGGGGGUGUGCUGACGCUGAGACACGAAAGCCAGGGGAGCGAACGGG